UACAGAGGUCUCAACCGUUGUUCGGAAUCAUUGGGCGUAAAGCGCGUGUAGGCGGCUUGGUAAGUCGAGUGUGAAAGCCCGGGGCUCAACCCCGGAAGGUCGCUCGAAACUGCCUCGCUAGAGUCCCGGAGAGGAAGGCGGAAUUCCCGGUGUAGAGGUGAAAUUCGUAGAUAUCGGGAGGAACACCAGCG
rnacentral:rRNA from 1 species